rnacentral:misc_RNA from 1 species
AACGCACAUUGCGCCCGCCAGUAUUCUGGCGGGCAUGCCUGUUCGAGCGUCAUUUCAACCCUCAAGACCCCUUCGGGGGACUUGGUGUUGGGGACCGGCCCCGGCCGCCCCCCAAAUGCAGUGGCGACCUCGCCGCAGCCUCCUCUGCGUAGUAGCACAACCUCGCACCGGAGCGCGGAGACGGUCACGCCGUAAAACGCCCAACUUAUUUUAGAGUUGACCUCGGAUCAGGUAGGAAUACCCGCUGAACUUAA